rnacentral:lncRNA from 1 species
GGGCAUGUCCAUUGAUUAGAGGGCCUUUAGUUCUUCUAUGGGGUGUCUCUUGGGUGUAUUUUGAGGUGUCUAAUUAUGAGUACAAGGGCUCCAAUUGUUGGUGCUUAAAGGAUCUCCUAAAGUAAGUUGGAUAACUUAAGUUAAUAAGAAAUCCAAUGCAGGUAAAACUUGUAUUAUGUGAUUGAAUAGGAUUCAAUCUU